AACGAACGCUGGCGGCAUGCCUAACACAUGCAAGUCGAACGGCAGCACCGUGCGUGCUUGCUCUUACGGGUGGCGAGUGGCGGAAGGGUCACGUAUGCAUCGGAAUCUACUCUUUCGUGGGGGAUAACGUAGGGGAACUUACGCUAAUACAGGAUCUGACGCACGGGUGUGGGCAUGGGAUCUUCUGACCUGGUGCGAUUGAAUGAGCCGAUGUCGGAUUAGCUAGUUGGCGGGGUAAAGGCCAAGCAGGGCGACGAUACGUAGCUGGUCUGAGAGAAGGGUCAGCGACACGGGAGGUGAGACACGGUCCAGACUCCUACGGGAGGCAGCAGUGGGGAAUAGUGGGCAAUGGGGGCAAGCCUGAUACAGCCAUACCGCGUGGGUGAAGAAGGCGUUCGGGUCGGAAAGCCCUUUUGUUGGGAGAGAACAGCAGCAGGUUGAUACGCCGCGGUUCUGACGGUACCGAAAGAAUAAGCACCGGCUAACUUCGUG
rnacentral:rRNA from 1 species